rnacentral:lncRNA from 1 species
CAGGAAUUGGGCGUCUGCUGUUUGCCAGGAGUCCGGCGGAGCGUGGGACUGCUGCGAUCCCUAGGAAGGGGAACCUACCUUUCCUCACUUUGCAACUGAAGAAACUGAGAGUCGGGGAGACUCCGCGAUUUCUCUCAGGCUGCUCUUCGGGCCCUGGCGUGGACCCUUCUCCCAGAGGCACAUGCCCAGAACCCAGCAAUGGCCAAUGGGACCCUGAUGGCCGAGGGCCAGAGAAGACUCAAGUGCAAAGAGCUGAGGUGCUUACACGACCACCGCACAGGAACGAAGCGUCGGAGUGUGGAAUCGAGACCUGUUCUACUGCACUCCAGAGCACAUGUUCUUUCUACUCUGCCAUAAUGUUUGGGACAAAAUUGAAUCAUGAGGGUUUUUUUUUUUUCCAUUACAAAUGUAACACAUCGCUCCUGCGUACGGCUGGGAUGAGUCACUGGCACCAGACGUGCCCUCCUGCGAAAAACAGCUAUGAAACUGGACAAAAUACAGGAGGGCCACUGUUUUCAGGCGUUGAACAGUGGAAAGAGGACUGCGAUCCUUGAGAAGAGAUGAUGGUGAAGACAUGUCUCCAAGGAAACUCGUGUGAAGAUGUUCAUAGCAACAUCGUUUAUAAGAGCAAAGAAACCAAGAAUAACCCAAAUGUCCAGCAAGAGGAGAGCGGACAAAGAAACGCCGAGUUCUAUGGAAUACUACUGCACCUUUUAAAAGGAAGAGGACAAGCUCUUUAAAUAAAUCUGGAUAGAUUUCCAAGACAUAUUGUUGAGUUAAAAAAGCAAGCUGCGGAACAAUAUGUACAGUAGGCUCCCAUUUAUGUUAAAAGACACUCAUAUGCUUGCUCAAAACAAUACUACUCAUUUACUAUACAAUACUAUGCAUAUACUCUAUUACCACACACGCACACACAUGCACACACAUGCAUGCACACACACACAUGCAGCAUGCACUCACUUUUAGACAAAGAUCUAGAAG